GCCGCGGUCACCCGUGCUAAGGUAGCAUAAUCAUUUGCCUCUUAAUUAGAGGCUAGUAUGAAAGGUUUAACAUGCCGCUUCUUUUAUUAUUUUAAUUACUUUAACUUCUCUUGUAAGUAAAAAGACUUACAUUUUUAGGGGGACGACAAGACCCUGUUGAACUUCACUUAAAGUUUAGCUGGGGUGGCUAAAAACCAAAUCUUUUUUUCUCCUCAAAACCUAACCCUUUUUCAAAGGAUCACCAAGUUACCACAGGGAUAACAGCAUAAUUUAUUCCUAAAGCUCUUAUUAAAGAAUAAGAUUGUGACCUCGAUGUUGAAUUAAUAUUCUUUUAGAAGCAAAAUUCUAGAAAGAAAGUCUGUUCGACUUUUAAAUAAUUACAUGAU
rnacentral:rRNA from 1 species